CAUACCGUAACGGCAGACAGCACGCAAUGAUGAAGGAUGGCACCUGCUACCAAAGUGGCGCCAUCUAGCCGAAAUGCUGCGAAUCGAGCGGGGAGCGCUGAUUGUCAUGCGGAAUAACUAUAAUUUACUUUUCUUCAUAUUACAGUUGUCAAUGUUAUUCUGGUGGUGAUCAAAACGAGUUCCAGGUAGCGUCAAGGAGGUGAUGUUCAAAGUGAUUUGCUACACGUUCCUUGAUGUGAGAACUGCAGGGACCGAGGGCAUCGAAGAACAUAGCCAGCAAACCUUAUCCAUCAUACUCGUUUGCUUCCUAUGCUAAUUAUUUGUCGUGGAGAUGCGCGAAGUUCAUAGACGUGCAUUUGUGAUGUGUAUGUGAUUGAGUGUGCAUCAGGAAUCUCCUGUGUGAUUAGCUAUUGCAGACCUUUUGCAUUGCAUAUAUUUUAUCUAUUUUGUGUGUGUUCUGUUGUCAAAUUGAUACAGGGGUUCCCCCCUAAUAAUCUUGUAACCCCCCCCCCCCCAAAAAAAAAAUCGAUACAAAUGCAUGUAUUUGUAUGAAUAUACAUAGCAGCAGCCAUUUGAUAGGUUUCACACAUCCCUACAGAAUUCUAACUCCACCCAAGAUACAAAUCGUGGGCAGAUCCCUGCUAUUGAUAUAUCUCGUGAUGUAGUUUGUCAUAUAUUAGGUCACAUGUGAGUCCUGAGUAUUCCUGCAUAAUAUUUAUGUGCUCGUAUAUAGAUUUAUGUUUACCUGUUCUGACAUGUUUAUAUGACCAUACUUACUUAUAAGCUUUAGUUUUGGGUACGGUGUUAUUGCAUUACAUGCGAGAAUCUUUACUGACAAUUUCACAACAAGACAAUUUAUACGAACAAAGGUGCUACGGGUAC